rfam:Triticum aestivum genome assembly, contig: Triticum_aestivum_CS42_TGACv1_scaffold_320355_4BL
CACCUACUCUCUCCAUCCCUAAAUACUUGUCGGAGAGAUGGAUAAAACUGAAUGUAUCUAUAAUUAAAAUAUGUCUAGAUACAUCAAUUUCUCCGAAAAGUAUUUACGGACGAAGGGAGUACUUA